UGAUGUAAUUUUACAGUAAUCAAUUUGAAUUAGAGAAGUUUAACUUGAGAUUAGCUCGAGGAAAGAACAACUUUUCACAUCGGACAACUAAAAUCUAAUUUAACAAGACCCAAUUGGGAUCCACUUGUAUGGUUAUCACAUGUUAUGAUAUUGAACAAAAUUAUGUUAGAAGCAUGCUCGAUAAAAUGUUAGUCGAUUUCUCAUCACCAAGAUAUGAAUUUUGCAAUCUUCAUGUCAUCUCCUCAUAUCAAUACUUAUUUGACCAAAAUUGGUCAAAAGAUCGAUGCAGUCAAAUACAAAACCGUUGAAAUUGAUCGCGUGAUUUGCCAAUGCCAACUAAAAUUUCAAUGUGAUCUUCGUUUCGAACAUACAAUUAUUAUAACUCAAAUCGACUAAGUAAGUUGUGCUAUAAAAUUAUACAUUGAUCUUUACUUUGAAGUCAACUUGGCGGACUCAACCGCCACCCACCGAUAACAUCAUGGAUGUCUCUCUUGAUGUGAUAUCGUUACACAUCCAUAUUGCUUUAGUUCGAUGUCGUGUGUCGUUUCUAUACUUGAUGAUGAAUGUGAUACUUAUCUGUAUGCUCUUAUUCUGGUGACCACAAAGCCACAAACACAUGAUGGGCAUUCGAAUACUGUUUGCUGCUAAGUUCUAAGUUCUUUAUUCUGAAGACUCAUUGGAUAGGGAUAAGGCUUAAGAUGAGGUAAGGAAUAAGACUCCUUAUUCGUCAAGCAAUUUAAAUGUUAUCGGAAUAAAGCUAGAACAGUUGCUCUGAUCAAUUAUUCCAUGACAGAGGUGGAAUCCGAGUUGGUCUGUGUUAGGACCCCAAUGUGGCGGAGAUGGUACUACUGGAUAUGCCUUGUGGGCUGGACCUUGAAUGGAUUGGUGGAUCCACAAUUCGGUGAUGCGCAGGAGGAGAGACUUGUUUCUGGCGAUGACUUGGAGAGGAGCUGCUUUGGCUUCGGGUGGCGGUGGUCGCGUUUCCUGUGCUGUUCGCUUUCCUUCUCUGCGUUUUCGAUAAAGACGCUCAACUUCCAAAAGAGACGAAGACGGCACUUCCUGCGAGCCUUUGCAGUCAAGCCAGAAUAGUUGCCGGUGUGAUGUUGAGAAUCCUCAAAGCAUCGCUGAUUGCUGCUCAUCUGUGCACAUCACAGAGCUAUUAAGAAUCAUUUGGGCGACUAGAUUGGACUCUUCAAUGAUCACCCUUCGUCACUUUUGUCAUAUAGCCAUCAUUGAGAAUAUUCUGCAUGUUUAGCAAUCAAGUUUCUUGUGGGAGAAUGAUAGCCCUCUAUGGAAUAAAGUGAAUUCUUUCGGGAUCUGCAAUAGCAUGGGAAAUUUUAGGGGAGCUUCUCCGGGAUAUGCAAUUGUGGGGUUUAAUGCAUCAGUUAUACACCUUAAAAUAUGUUCUUUGGAGAGAGAUUGAUUGAUGGUCUGUAGUUAUGAUGAAAACAAUGCGGAAAGAUUGGUAAGCAUCAGACUGCUUGAAAAAAGAUGUGGUGUUCUUGGUGGUCAUCCAACAGGGAGAUUCUCUCGUUGUGGACGUUGGUCCGUUGGAUCUGUCGGAUCUAUCGUCAGAUUUGAAAUCUCGAGCAGUCAAAUUAGGACGUUGGUAUCUUCAAACGGAACUAAAUGUGUAUAUCAAAUUAGAAUCGUUACGUGGUUGCUUGUUUCGGGGACGGAACUAUUGAUCCGUGUCAUGUCACCAAAGUAUCAAUAUCGGCUGAUGCUAGAUUUAUAGUAAGGCUUCCCAUUCAUGAUAUUGUAUAGACUGCUAUUGUCAUCAAUCCCUACCGAGCAAAAGAGAUGAUAAUGUUGACUGUACUGUAUGAGAGUGAAAGGUGGUGGAGCAGCAGCGAGAUUGUACAUUGUAACCCUGUUCUCCUCUCCGCUCCGUUUGCUUUAGUUCAGCCGCUGUUGGUUGUGCUGUUCUCUGGCUCUGCGACGACCACGAACACGCGCACACAGAGAGAGAGAGAGAGAGAGAGAGAGAGAGAGAGAGAGAGAGA